rnacentral:lncRNA from 1 species
ACCUAAUAAAUCUCAAUCAAUGUUAUGUGAAUGAAUGAACAAAUGUCCAAGUGACUCUUAGGAGAAACUCAAUCACUGUUGUACAGAUGAUUCCCCACUUACUGGAGGUUUGACUUACAAUGUUUGACUUUACAGUGGGCGACACCACCGUUGUAAACCUAGGAGUGCACUGAACUUUUGAUGGAUUUAUCUGGAUGUAACCCCAUGCAUUGAUCCCACAUUCCACUGAACUGUUUCAUUGGAUGCUCAAAUGAAGAGGAAGCCAAGAAUAAACUUAAUCUCCUGGUAAGUUUCAGGCAUUUGACAAUUAUGUAGGCAUUGAUUAUUAGCAUUAGCCAGGAGUAUAGAAACACUUAAUAAAUAUUGCAUGCAGAA